AUUGAACGCUGGCGGCAGGCCUAACACAUGCAAGUCGAGCGGAUGAAGGGAGCUUGCUCCUGGAUUCAGCGGCGGACGGGUGAGUAAUGCCUAGGAAUCUGCCUGGUAGUGGGGGAUAACGUCCGGAAACGGGCGCUAAUACCGCAUACGUCCUGAGGGAGCAAGUGGGGGAUCUUCGGACCUCACGCUAUCAGAUGAGCCUAGGUCGGAGUAGCUAGUUGGUGGGGUAAAGGCCUACCAAGGCGACGAUCCGUAACUGGUCUGAGAGGAUGAUCAGUCACACUGGAACUGAGACACGGUCCAGACUCCUACGGGAGGCAGCAGUGGGGAAUAUUGGACAAUGGGCGAAAGCCUGAUCCAGCCAUGCCGCGUGUGUGAAGAAGGUCUUCGGAUUGUAAAGCACUUUAAGUUGGGAGGAAGGGCAGUAAGUUAAUACCUUGCUGUUUUGACGUUACCAACAGAAUAAGCACCGGCUAACUUCGUG
rnacentral:rRNA from 1 species